UGAGGAAUAUUGGUCAAUGGGCGAGAGCCUGAACCAGCCAAGUCGCGUGAAGGAAGACAGUCCUAAGGAUUGUAAACUUCUUUUAUACGGGAAUAACGGGCGAUACGAGUAUUGCAUUGAAUGUACCGUAAGAAUAAGCAUCGGCUAACUCCGUGCCAGCAGCCGCGGUAAUACGGAGGAUGCGAGCGUUAUCCGGAUUUAUUGGGUUUAAAGGGUGCGUAGGUUGUUCGGUAAGUCAGCGGUGAAACCUGAGCGCUCAACGUUCAGCCUGCCGUUGAAACUGCCGGGCUUGAGUUCAGUGGCGGCAGGCGGAAUUCGUGGUGUAGCGGUGAAAUGCAUAGAUAUCACGAGGAACUCCGAUUGCGAAGGCAGCUUGCCAUACUGCGACUGACACUGAAGCACGAAGGCGUGGGUAUCAAACAGGAUUAGAUACCCUGGUAGUCCACGCAGUAAACGAUGAUUACUAGGAGUUUGCGAUAUACCGUCAAGCUUCCACAGCGAAAGCGUUAAGUAAUCCACCUGGGGAGUACGCCGGCAACGGUGA
rnacentral:rRNA from 1 species